UAAACAGAAUAUUGUUGUCUCAUCAUAUGAUUAUUAUAGACAUAUACGAAGCAUAAACCAUAAUCACGAUUUGUUUGUUUUAUUUUUUAGGAAACACAUGCAUGAUCUUAUACCUUAUUCCCGUUUGAUACUAGACAUAAUAGAAAAAUUUAACAUGUGCAUUUACAUAUUUUUAUAACUACAAAAAAGAUUUUGCAAUGAAAAGGACACUCGAGUGGGCAUGGCGGGUCUGUUGGUGGCUUUGGAGACGAGUGGAAAAUGGAUUCUUCUUGGAUCACAUUUGAGAUGAACUCUUUCUGUAUUAGACUUCGACUUUCUGCCUUUCCAAUACUUGAAAACGAAAUUUCUACAAUGUUUAAUUAAAUUAUGCCAAGUUAAUUAUAAAUUAGUCGUAUAGUAGAUUAUUAUUUAUCGAAUUACAAAAUUCAUUAUGUGAACGCCAAUUAAUUAAUCAGUGAAAUCUCAUAUCAUACAAUAUAUAUAUAUAUAUAUAUUUACCAGAGAUUAGAGCCAAGAAGAAAAAUAAAGUGAAGGUCUUCAAAAUAUUUUUCAUAAUUAUGAGCUGGUUUGUUAAGAAGAGAGAU
rnacentral:lncRNA from 1 species